rnacentral:misc_RNA from 1 species
UCCGGUUUGACACCGGCAGUCUCCCUAGAGUGCCCGGCAUAACCCGCUGGUAACUAGGGACGAGGGUUGCGCUCGUUGCGGGACUUAACCCAACAUCUCACGACACGAGCUGACGACAGCCAUGCAGCACCUGUCUCCGCGCCCCUUGCGGGGACCGCCCAUCUCUGAGCGUAGCACGGGAUGUCAAACCCUGGUAAGGUUCUGCGCGUUGCAUCGAAUUGAGCCACAUACUCCACCGCUUGUGCAGGCCCCCGUCAAUUCCUUUGAGUUUUAGCCUUGCGGCCGUAGUCCCCAGGCGGAGUACUUAAUGCGUUAGCGACGGCACCGAGGGGGUCGAUACCCCCGACACCUAGUACUCAUCGUUUACGGCGUGGACUAC